UCCCUGGUGGCUCAGUGGUGAAGAAUCUGCUUGCCAGUGCAGGAGACACAGGUUCAAUCCCUGGCCUGGGAG
rnacentral:tRNA from 1 species